GCCUGGGUGGCUCAGUCGGUUAAGCGUCUGACUUCAGCUCAGGUCAUGAUCUCAUGGUUCAUGGGUUCGAACCCCACGACAGGCU
rnacentral:tRNA from 1 species